rnacentral:rRNA from 1 species
UACAGAGGGUGCGAGCGUUAAUCGGAAUUACUGGGCGUAAAGCGUGCGCAGGCGGUGAUGUAAGACAGGUGUGAAAUCCCCGGGCUUAACCUGGGAACUGCAUUUGUGACUGCAUCGCUGGAGUGCGGCAGAGGGGGAUGGAAUUCCGCGUGUAGCAGUGAAAUGCGUAGAUAUGCGGAGGAACACCGAUGGCGAAGGCAAUCCCCUGGGCCUGCACUGACGCUCAUGCACGAAAGCGUGGGGAGCGAACAGG